GGCCUCAUCGUUUAGCGGCUAGGACGUCGCCCUUUCACGGCGAUAGCACGGGUUCGAGUCCCGUUGGGGUCACCA
rnacentral:tRNA from 1 species